rnacentral:rRNA from 1 species
UCCCAGACUCCUACGGGAGGCAGCAGUGAGGAAUAUUGGUCAAUGGGCGUAAGCCUGAACCAGCCAAGUCGCGUGAGGGACGACGGCCCUACGGGUUGUAAACCUCUUUUGCCGGGGGACAAACGGCAGCACGCGUGCCGUCCUGAGGGUACCCGGAGAAAAAGCAUCGGCUAACUCCGUGCCAGCAGCCGCGGUAAUACGGAAGGUCCGGGCGUUAUCCGGAUUUAUUGGGUUUAAAGGGAGCGUAGGCCGGUCUUUAAGCGUGCCGUGAAAUUUUGUGGCUCAACCAUGAGAGUGCGGCGCGAACUGGAGACCUUGAGUGCGCGGAAGGCAGGCGGAAUUCGUGGUGUAGCGGUGAAAUGCUUAGAUAUCACGAAGAACCCCGAUUGCGAAGGCAGCCUGCCGCAGCGUUACUGACGCUGAAGCUCGAAAGCGCGGGUAUCGAACAGGAUUAGAUACCCGAGUA